rnacentral:rRNA from 1 species
UAUAUCAUUUACAUUCUUAACUGAGUGUAUCUAAGAUAAUAGAGUUCGCUUUCUAUUGGUGACGGGAUCUCCUCAUUCGUGGAGUGAUCUAAUCCUCUAGGGAAAACUCGGGCGACCGCUGUAAUACUUUCUUUUUAAAACAGAGGAAGAUUGCGGCAAUAACAGGUCUGUGAUGCCCUCAGAUGUCCCGGGCCGCACACGUGCUACAUUGAUUAGCGCAGUGCGCAUACUUUCAAUAUGAUACAUUGGUUUUGGUAGUAAGCUAUUCAUCUGAUGGAUAUGCUACUCUCCAUACCAAUACUAUCUAGUCUGAAAAGACUGGGUAAUCUAUUGUAAGUGCUGGUUCCUCUUCCCGUUGAGCAUUUUAAUAAUGGUCUCUCUACGUCCCUAGUAUAUUCUAGUGCGAUUGUAGUUGAGUCUGCCAUUUAUGCAAGUGUCAAUUCUCAGUGGGGACAGACAUUUGAUAAUUCUUUGUCUCGUUCUUAACUAGGAAUGCCUUGUACGGGUCUUGGUUCAACAGACCACCCGGAAUACGUCCCUGCCCUUUGUACACACCGCCCGUCGCUCUUACCGAUGAAUUUCACUGUGAGUUCAAUGGACCGAUUUUUUCCCUUUGGAAAUUUGGUCAAACA